AACGAACGCUAGCGGAAGGCAUAAUACAUGCAAGUCGAACGGAUGUAGCAAUACAUUAGUGGCGCACGGGUGCGUAACGCGUAUGCAACCUACCUUCAUCAGGGGGAUAACUACCCGAAAGGGUGGCUAACACCGCAUAAUACUAUUGAGUGGCAUCACUUGAUAUUUAAAUCUGAGGAGGAUGAAGAUGGGCAUGCGUCUGAUUAGCUAGUUGGUGUGGUAACGGCGCACCAAGGCGACGAUCAGUAGGGGAACUGAGAGGUUGGUCCCCCACACUGGCACUGAGAUACGGGCCAGACUCCUAUGGGAGGCAGCAGCAGGGAAUAUUGGUCAAUGGUGGGAACACUGAACCAGCCAUUCCGCGUGCAGGAAGAAGGGUCUCUGACUUGUAAACUGCUUUAGCAAGAGAAGAAAAAGCUCAUGCGUGAGAAAUUGACGGUACCUUGAGAAUAAGCACCGGCUAACUACGUGCCAGCAGCCGCCGUAAAAC
rnacentral:rRNA from 1 species